GGGCCCGCACAAGCGGUGGAGCAUGUGGUUUAAUUCGAGGCAACGCGAAGAACCUUACCAGCCCUUGACAUGGGUAGUAUGGAUUUUGGAGACAAUUUCCUUCAGUUCGGCUGGCUACCACACAGGUGCUGCAUGGCUGUCGUCAGCUCGUGUCGUGAGAUGUUGGGUUAAGUCCCGCAACGAGCGCAACCCUCAUCUUCAGUUGCUAACGCCUAGGGCGAGCACUUUGGAGAAACUGCCUGGGAUGACUAGGAGGAAGGCGAGGAUGACGUCAAGUCCUCAUGGCCCUUAUGGGCUGGGCUACACACGUGCUACAAUGGCGGUGACAACGGGAAGCAAUUGGGCAACCUUGAGCAAAUCCCCAAAAACCGUCUCAGUUCGGAUUGUACUCUGCAACUCGAGUGCAUGAAGUUGGAAUCGCUAGUAAUCG
rnacentral:rRNA from 1 species